UUUGUAUUUAUUGGUUUAACAUGUGUACAAUUAUGUAUGUUGUCUAAGAAUAGUACAAGUAUGGUUUAAAGCAUCGCAUUUUGUAGUUAAAUGGAUACCAGCGUUAGUUUCGCGACACUCCUCUUAAACCUCAAAAUACACGCGGUUCCACAGUAUUUUUCAUAUAAUUAUUAAACUAAAUAUUCUCUCAUGCUAUACUGAGCUGAACUUAUCUGGAGAAUAUACUGUUUGGUAUUAUUUGAGCCCAGUGCUGCAUUAGAGACCGUUCAAACAGAGCACGAGACGGAGCGCGACGAACAACUGUGUGGAUUUAGAACGGCGGGAAUUUAAAAAAAUGACUUUAUGAACGAUUAAAAUUAGGGGAAAUAAACAAGAUUACUACUCGAACUGUCAUUUUUCUGCACGUUGUAAGUGAAACGAACGAGCACCUCUCAGAGUUGGUUUGGAGAGCAUGCAUUUGUCUGACAUAAUCUUGCUUCAGAUGAGGUUCUAACGGUACAAACUCUUCUUUCAGUUAUGUAUUGAAGUGCCUCACCGGAACCCAUGGCAACGCUGCGUGAAUAUACGGACGGUUAAAAAAACUGUAUGUUUGAAAAGUAAUAAUGGCAUAUAUCUUGUAUAAAAAGCCCUGUGAUAAGGAUAAUCACAAAUGUGUAAAAUUAGCUUUUCUGUUGUUUUGUUCUAAUUUCCUGUGUUAUGUAAUUUUAAAAGCCUUUUCUGGAUUGUAAAAUAUGGUUUUGGUAAUUGAAACGUAAACUAGCAAUGACAUUUGACUUUCUCUGUCAAGAUUAUUUAUUUUUAUUUAUAGUGUUGUUUUAACAUGUUUCUGUAUUUUCCAUGUUUAUGAUAUUCUGGAAUGACUAAAGAUCAGCACAGAGUUCUUGUGGAUGGACCUCAGCAAGUCCUUCUGCAGUUGUAUCCAUCAAAGUGCUAUGCAGACACACUGGGAAUGACUGUCACAUUGUAGAGCUUGGAUAAAUUCACACCGGUUCUCAAGAGGAAUUCAUCAAGGACAAGUCUGUUGGCAUUAUAGUUGUUGGGUGACCAAAAUGAGCACCAUCAAUCUGCAGUGAUGUGGUCCCGGUAAUAGAAGAAGAAAUCUUGUUUAUCUGCAGUUGUAACACCCAUCUCAUGAAUUGAGGUGACAUGGGCAUCUUGAUUGUGACUGAGGAGGAGGAAUGGGAGGUGCUUCCAAAAUAAACCAAUGGCGUUGCUAUCAUUUUGGAAGAGCGUCUUGUCGCCAUCGAUAUCUGUGACCUGAUGGGUCGUCUUUACAUCAAUAACAAAACACAGUACAGUUCUGAUGUUCUCAAAACUUUGCACGAACAUUGGUGGGAGUAACUGUUCUUCACGUGUUUACGGGCUACGAAACAUGUUCAACUUUGUUCAACUCACAUUUUUUGCCAUGUUAUGGCAUCUCUUUUUAAAAUUUUGAAUGCACUUUGAUGCAUGUUCUGACUUAUAUUGAAAUGGAAAAUUUCAGAAUUACUCAUCUGUUCUUUUGAUUAAAUGUGCAUUAGUGAAAGGAAUGUAGAUAUUUACUGCAAUUGUUCCAAAGAAAUUAAAUGUUAAUAUGAAAUGUCAGUGUUUGUUUUUAAAGGUGUUUUUAUACUAAACACACUAAUACUAAAUAUGCUGUCAAUUUUGAAAUAAAAAUGUCAUGGACAUUUAAGAACAUGCAAUGUAUUUUAUUUUAUGCGAGUAGAAAAUAGAAACUUGAGUUGUG